rnacentral:tRNA from 1 species
GCCUCUGUGGCGGAAUUGGUAGACGCGAUAGACUCAAAAUCUAUUGUCCCCUGGGACGUGUCCGUUCGAUUCGGAUCGGAGGUACCA